UCUUAUGUGCAUGCCUACAAUGUUAAUAUAAAAUAUCUCAUUAGAACUAUGCAAUUAAGUUCACUUGAGCUAGAGUAGUACUGGGAUGGGUGACCUCCAGGGAAGUUUGAUUGUUUAUAUGCC
rnacentral:rRNA from 1 species